rnacentral:tRNA from 1 species
GCUGGUUUAGCUCAAUGGUAGAGCAUCCGCAUCGUACGCGGAUAGAUGAUGGUUCAAUUCCAUUCAGCCAGCACCA